UACUAGAGUAGCACUCGCAUAUCAAUAAGCGGAGGAAAAGAAACUAACAAGGAUUCCCCUAGUAACGGCGAGUGAAGCGGGAAGAGCUCAAAUUUGGAAUCUUAAAGGGUUUCCCUUUACGAAUUGUAGUUUAAAGAAGUGUUUUCUGUUGAGGUUUUGGUAAAAGUUCUUUGGAAUAGGACAUCAUAGAGGGUGAGAAUCCCGUAUUUGACCUUUACUUUCAACUUUGUGAUACACUUUCAAAGAGUCGGAUUGUUUGGGAAUGCAGUCCAAAAUGGGUGGUAAAUUUCAUCUAAAGCUAAAUAUUGGCGAGAGACCGAUAGCGAACAAGUACCGUGAGGGAAAGAUGAAAAGAACUUUGAAAAGAGAGUUAAACAGUACGUGAAAUUGUCAAAAGGGAAGCGUUUGACACCAGUGUUGUUUUUCUGAAAAUCAAUUAAAGAACUGUUUAUGCUAAGCUGUUUAGACUUUAUCAGCUAUCUGUUUAGUUUUGAGCUUUUCUUUAAUGCACUUUUCAGUUAACAAGUCAACAUCAAUUUCUUUUGCUGUAAAAAAGCUUGAGGAAGGUGGCUUGAGAUUCGUCUUAAGUGUUUAUAGCCUCUUGCCUAUGCAGUCGGAGAGAUUGAGGUCUGCAGCGUAGAUCCUUCGGGGCUAAAUGCAUUUGUGCUAAGUUAUAGCAUUUUAUAGACAACUUGUUGACUAUGAUUUGUCUUGUAGCUUACUCGCUUAUGUUAUUUUACCUACGCUUAGGAUGUUGAUCUCUCACAGUCGAGC
rnacentral:rRNA from 1 species